rnacentral:rRNA from 1 species
GAUGAACGCUGGCGGCGUGCCUAAUACAUGCAAGUCGAGCGAACGGACGAGAAGCUUGCUUCUCUGAUGUUAGCGGCGGACGGGUGAGUAACACGUGGAUAACCUACCUAUAAGACUGGGAUAACUUCGGGAAACCGGAGCUAAUACCGGAUGAUAUUUUGAACCGCAUGGUUCAAAAGUGAAAGACGGUCUUGCUGUCACUUAUAGAUGGAUCCGCGCUGCAUUAGCUAGUUGGUAAGGUAACGGCUUACCAAGGCAACGAUGCAUAGCCGACCUGAGAGGGUGAUCGGCCACACUGGAACUGAGACACGGUCCAGACUCCUACGGGAGGCAGCAGGAGGGAAUCUUCCGCAAUGGGCGAAAGCCUGACGGAGCAACGCCGCGUGAGUGAUGAAGGUCUUCGGAUCGUAAAACUCUGUUAUUAGGGAAGAACAUAUGUGUAAGUAACUGUGCACAUCUGGACGGUACCUAAUCAGAAAGCCACGGCUAACUACGU